GGUUCAGUUGCUCAGCAGAACGCAUCCCAGCAGGAAAAGCAAAAGACUGUCUGGUCUUCUCAUGACAUCCCCAGUUCUGUUCUCUGCCGAGCACAAACACACAAUCAACCGAGUAAUAUUAUAACCAAUUUAUUCCCCCUUUGCUGUUAUAAUAAACUCCACUCUUCUGGGAAGGCUUUCUACUAGAUUUUGGAGCGUGGCUAUGGGAAUUUGUGUUCAUUCAGCCACAAGAUCAUUAGCGAGGAAGCUGCAUUUCUGAUGAAUGCCUUUGUCUCUGCUCCAAUGAAGAGGUCUUCAUCUUCCAACUGAUGUCCCUGUCCUUAGUUCACCUCCCUGAGAGGGACAUCCAAGAUGGCCCUGGCUGGUAUGAGGUAGCCCAAAAACCGCCUCUUCAAGCCUGUGAAUCUGUACUCCCUCUGACUGUAGACAGUACAUGUAGCCACAAUAAAAUAACUGAAAUAAUA